rnacentral:rRNA from 1 species
UGGCUCAGAACGAACGCUGGCGGCGCGCCUAACACAUGCAAGUCGAACGAGAAAGCGGGGGCAACCUCGUGAGUAAAGUGGCGUACUGGUGAGUAACACGUGGAUCAUCUACCCCGAAGUGGGGAAUAACGCUGGGAAACCGGCGCUAAUACCGCAUAAUCCCGAGAGGGCAAAGGAGCAAUUCGCUUUGGGAGGAGUCCGCGGCCGGUUAGCUUGUUGGUAGGGUAAUGGCCUAGCAAGGCUGUGAUCGGUAGCCGGCCUGAGAGGGCACACGGCCACACUGGCACUGAAACACGGACCAGACUCCUACGGGUUCCAGCAGUGGG